rfam:Medicago truncatula strain A17 chromosome 8, whole genome shotgun sequence.
AAACAGCCCCCUACGUAUUGGAUCUUUGGCAGUUUUGGUCCCCAAGGCAAUUUUGACUUAGUCUUCGCUGACGUGACACCUACAAUGGUCGACACGUGGCACCUCACGUAAGGGAUGUGGGUGCCACGUCAGCAAAGACUAAGUUAAAAGUGGCUUUGGGGGCCAAAACUGCCAAAGAUUUAAUACAUAGGGAGCUAUUU